AGGUGCAGUAUGCAGAGCUGAAGCUCUGUGGCAGCCACAGCCCACUUCGGAAGAAGAGGAGUACUGUCUAGAGUUCACACAGACUGAGGCCUCCAGCAUCCAGUGUGCAGCCAAUCAGACCUAGAUCCUGGCUGCUCUAGUGGUACCAAGGUGUCCUGAGAUAUGGAUGUUGUGUGCAACCUUCUACUCCCUCUCUGCUUUCUUUACAUACCCAGAUGCAAGCACACCUGCACACAGGUCCCUGUGCACGGGUAUCCUGGAUUCCUGGACAACCAAACCAUCAAAAGACAUCAAGUCUGAGACUGUGGGAGCUUCAUAUCCAUUUUUAGGACAUAAAACAAGGUGUCCACAUGUCUGAACACCAUCCUCGAGGACAGCCAGAAGACCACUUGAUUCCAGGAUGAUGCGGAACUUAUUUCAAUACCUUCGACAGAUUUUCCACUAAGAAUCAGUUCUUUCCAGUUGAGGCUGGUGGUUCACACAUAUAAUCCUAACAGGGAAGAGGCCAAGGCAGGACAGUUCAAGCUCAAGGCCAGCUCAGAAACUGUGCUAUGUUGGCCUCUAAACAUAUAGUACAAACUGUCCUAAAACCAACAAUCAACAGAGGUUCAGUUAUUUCCAGUCUCCAUCCCCCUAUGUGUUUAAUGUUCCUUUUUCCCUCUAUCUGCCCUGAUAAUGUAUAUUAGAAAAUGUUUAGUGAUUUUUCAGAAUUAACUCAAAUAUUUAGGAGUCUUUCAGCUCUGAUUACUAAAGACAUGCCUGUUUAUUUAUUUUGUUUUUUGGUGACCCUUUAGUAUUAGAUGCCAGUUCAAAUCAAAUCUCAGUUGUUGUUGGCAAGGGCCAUCCUUGACGGUUCCAAGGAGUCACUCAUUAGAAUCACCCAUUGGAAGAAUAAGGGUUUUUGUGAUAGUAUUAUGUUUCUGGAAUAUGCCAUUUCUUCCAACUUCACUUUUUGCUUAUUACUACAAUGAGAUGUUGAUAUGCAUCCUCAGAGCGAUGGUGGAGAUUGGGGCAGAUGAAUUAGUGGGUUCUGAAAGCAUUUAGGGAUAUCAAGAUAUGUGGGGGGGGGCUUACUUAACUGAGACUCUGAAUGGAAUAUACUCAUUUCAGUUGCCCGAUGUUCUGAUCAGAUAUUUAAAAUGUUUUUGCUAUCCUAAUUUGCCUUUUAUUUUUCUAAGGGACAAAAUAAGAUAUAAGACAAUAGAAGCUUAUUUCAAAAUUCCUGUUGAUACCAAACAACUACAAAAAAGUCCUCUGUAGAUAGUGUUUGAAUCCUGAGUACCCUACAACUCCACAGCACACCCUGCCAAGUUUAAAACAAUGAAUUAUGUGCACGUAAAAAAGUGUACAAAUAUCUUUGUAUUAAAAUGAUAUUUAAGCUUUAAAAAUCUAUAUUUCAUCAGCAUACUUGCUGUGUGCAGGUUUGUGUAUGUAUUGUAAAGAAAAGCUGAGGUAGGAAACCUAGUUUACUGUGUUUAGCUCCUGUUCUGUUUCUGCAUUGUAAUUUAAUAAUCAAACAAAAUGUUUUAUGAAAAAAAAUGCCAAAGAUUCUGAACUUUGUCAUCUCAUGUCUGUUUUACUUCAUAUUCUUCUUCCUGAUUUCUCUGUGGCAUAGCCCGAUUUCUGCACGAUUUGAUUUACUUCAAGUUAAUGAAGCUGGCUGGAAAGGAGCCUUGACGAGAUUCUAAAAGCCCCAGUAAAUCUGUUAGUUGUACAUACAAUAGAUACCCGAGAACCUCUUUGUCUAACCAGUUACUCAAUCUUCUGUGUAAACAAUACCUCAUUGUCUUGUUCCUGUCAUCCAGUUUAUCAUAGUCUGUCAUUUAGUAAUGACCCAAGGCAGACAUCUAUAAGCCGUCAUGUGAGAUAUGAUCAGCCAUUGGAAUGGAAACUUUUGGGAGCCAAAUAACCCCUUAUUUAUUUAAAUGUGGGACCCAUCCUUCAUGGCUGUUCUUUUCCUUUAGAAUUUCUAAAUGAAAUAAUUUUCCCAACAGGAAGGUAUCAUUAGUGAGACUUCUUUCCUCCAUAGCCCCAAUAGAACUCACAGCAUUACAUUCAGGACACAAAUGCCAGCUGGUAUUUGAGAGCAAGACAGGGCCAACUUUUUCAACACUCUUUAACUGAAGACAAUUGGUAGUUGAUGAAAUCAACAUUGCAUAUAAGAAAAUGAGUAUUUGUUGGAAGUGAAAUGCUAAGAUUUGUACUGUCAUUAUAGUUGCACAGGUCUCAUCCUUACAUGCCUUGUCUUAGCCCAGGAUCUCAGAGAGUGACAAAUAGUAUAAUCUAAUACCUUAUUCCACCUUAAAGAAGCACCUGUCAUGGUGCUGUGGGCAGAACUUCUCUCCUUGUAUGCAUGGGGCCAGAACUAGCAUGAAUUUCUUUUUCCUUCUUCCACUGUUUGAUAUAUGAAAGGAAGAUUUGUUCUAACCCACAAUUUUAGCAACUUCUGCAAGACUUUUCUCUUUCUGAGAAUUAUCACAAUUUACAGUUAUAGAAAGCAGUCCUUUGGCAUGUCCAGAUAUGCCAGCAUGACAAUUUGUAUGCUUUGAAAAAAGUAUUGAGUAAAAUGCAUGUUACUAAAACACCACAGCCAUAAAUGUGAUAGCUGGUGGCCACUCUAAAGGAAAAAAGAGCCAAAUGAAGGCAAAAUUGUCACACCUCUACAGUCCAGCCUCUACAAACGAGUGUUUGGGGCCUGGUUCCCUAGUGACCCAAGAUUCCUUACACAAACAUCUGGAGCGUAACCCCUAAUAAUUUACACACUUUAC
rnacentral:lncRNA from 1 species